rnacentral:rRNA from 1 species
AGUGAACGCUGGCGGCGUGCCUAAUACAUGCAAGUCGAACGGAGUGGCGCACGGGUGUGUAAUGUAUAGCUAAUCUGCCCUACACUAGAGGACAACAGUUGGAAACGACUGCUAAUACUCUAUAGUGUAGGAUGAGGCUAUAUUGUAUCAGCUAGUUGGUGAGGGAAUGGCUCACCAAGGCUAUGACGCAUAACUGGUCUGAGAGGAGGAUCAGUCACGCUGGAACUGAGACACGGUCGAGACUCUUGCGGGAGUCAGCAGUAGGGAAUAAGGCUCAAUGGGCGAAGCCCUGAAGCGGCAACGCGGCGUGGAGGAUGACACUUUUCGGGGCAUAAAACAAUUUUGAUAGUGAAGCGGUACCUAACGAAUAAGCACCGGCUAACUCCGUGCCAGCCGCCGCGGUAAUAC